AGAUUGAACGCUGGCGGCAGGCCUAACACAUGCAAGUCGAGCGGCAGCACGGGUACUUGUACCUGGUGGCGAGCGGCGGACGGGUGAGUAAUGCCUAGGAAUCUGCCUGGUAGUGGGGGAUAACGCUCGGAAACGGACGCUAAUACCGCAUACGUCCUACGGGAGGAAGCGGGGGACCUUCGGGCCUCGCGCCAUUAGAUGAGCCUAGGUCGGAUUAGCUAGUUGGUGAGGUAAUGGCUCACCAAGGCGACGAUCCGUAACUGGUCUGAGAGGAUGAUCAGUCACACUGGAACUGAGACACGGUCCAGACUCCUACGGGAGGCAGCAGGUGGGAAUA
rnacentral:rRNA from 1 species